AUUUUUUUAAGUCUAUAAAAAAGUUUGAAUUUUAAUUUUACAAAUUAAAUUAUAAAACCUU
rnacentral:tRNA from 1 species